rnacentral:rRNA from 1 species
GGAUGCGAUCAUACCAGCACUAAAGCACCGGAUCCCAUCAAAACUCCGAAGUUAAGCGUGCUUGGGGGAGAGUAGUACUAGGAUGGGUGACCUCUUGGGAAGUCCUCGUGUUGCAUUCC